ensembl:lncRNA
GUCGUAAUCGAUGCGCGAGAUGAGGUGUGCAUUGAACCCAGAGAGGGCAAACAGGACCGGUGUGGUGGCAGAAGCUCCAAAUGGAUCUACAUGCCAGGAGAACUGAGGACGCACCCCAAAUGUCUCGUAUAAGAAACCAUGGCCCUCAGUCAUCUGUAAGAUCUCAUCAUUAAGUUCAAAGGUCCCUCUCUAUCUCCCCACACAUCCACCAACCACUGGAACACAUCUCCAAAGUUCUGCUGGACCAGCUCAGCUUCCCCUCAGAAGAAGUGCUGCCACCUGCCAGAUGAAGGAGCCUUUUGAGAGGCAGCUGGCAUCGUGAUUGGACUGUACUUUGGUCUGUUCCAAUCCAGCUUCAGCUCCAGAGACGGCAGGCGGGACGAGUCAAUGGAGGCCUGGUGGACGAAGGCAUGCAGCUGAGUACAAUCCAGAAAACAACAGAGGAGGAGGGCAGCAGCCCAGAGCCAGAACAACCAGAGUAGCAUCGUAUGUCUCUUAGAAAACAUCAUAGUAUAGCCUUUGGUAUGAAAAAACACCAUCAUAUACAUCAUAUAUUGUACAAAUAAC